rnacentral:misc_RNA from 1 species
GAUGAAGAACGUAGCGAAACGCGAUAAGUAAUGUGAAUUGCAGAAUUUAGUGAAUCAUCGAAUCUUAGAACGCACAUUGCGCCCGCCAGUAUUCUGGCGGGCAUGCCUGUCCGAGCGUCAUUUCAACCAUCAAGCCCCAGGCUUGUGUUGGGGACCUGCGUCCGACGCAGGCCCUGAAAACCAGUGGCGGGCUCGCUGUCCACACCGAGCGUAGUAACUAACCUCGCUACGGGAGCGGCGCGGGCGCCUGCCGUAAAACCCCCAAUUUUCACAAGGUUGACCUCGGAUCAGGUAGGAAUACCCGCUGAACUUAAGCAUAUCAAUAAGCGGAGGA